rnacentral:tRNA from 1 species
GCUCUUAUAGCUCAACGGUAGAGCAUAAUACUGUAUAUUAUGAAGAGUCGAUUCCUUUAAGGGCG